GAAUCGAGGCUACUCUCGACAUUACAGUUGCAAGAACUCCUCAAAUCCCUGUAGCUGUAAUACUUGGAAUUUGUUCUGUGUUACUAUCAAUGGCGUCGACUGAGUUUUGUGAAGCUGUGGCUUAUGCUCUUCGUUGCGUUGGUCUAAAGGAUCUCACACUGAAGCCAAAGCAAAAGGAGGCUCUCAUCCACCUGUAUGACGAUCAUGAUGUCUUUGUUUGGUUCCCCACGGGCUAUGGCAAGUCUUUGUGCUUCCAACUGCUCACUGAAGCAGACAAGCUCUAGCUCUACAAGAGUUGAGAGAAGUGUUGUGCUGGUGCUGUCACCACUAGUGUCUCUGAUAAUAGACCAGGUUUCAGGCCUCCGGAAGAAGGGUGUCUCUGCUGUUAUAAUUAUUGUCUGGCAACAAAGAUGUCGAGAAGGACCUCCUUGCUAGUGUGAGUGACGUGUCCGAGGGCGGUUCUCUCUCCUCUAUAGUGCUCCCGAGGCACUCCUUGGUAGAGAAGCGUAGAAGCAGCUCUUGGUCCAACGUCCCCUCUGUGACUCUGUAGUGGCAGUCGCUGUUGACGAAGCACACUGUGCGUAUAAGUGGUACAGAGAUCUACCGUUGGGUUGCUGAGUACUGGCAGUCUCAACAGAAGGUGCUUGAGUAUAACGUUGCUCCGAUCCCUCAGCGGCACGGCACGUCUUGUUGAUAUGAAGCAGUGACUAACAAAAUUAAUUAACAGUAAUUUUUACUCUCUUGUUUUUAUAUUACUCUUGUCCUGGACGGGGAAACAGAGUCGCCUUCCAGCGGCUCCAACGGUCUGACGCUUAGCUAAUGGUGGUCUUGCUACGUGUACGUGUGUGUGUGGGUGGGAGAAACCCCUACCCCACUAGUGUCUUUGGAUAUCUUUCUCGGAGCCGAUUACUCGUCGGCUGCCAGUGACACUUGUGAGAGGCCUGGGCAGCCAUCUCUAGCUCUCUGUUGUUUUAAUGUAUUUUUCCUACGAACCAUGCGGUUUAACGUAUUCUCAUUUUGUUUA